rnacentral:rRNA from 1 species
UGGGGAAUAUUGGACAAUGGGCGAAAGCCUGAUGCAGCGACGCCGCGUGGGGGAUGACGGCCUUCGGGUUGUAAACCUCUUUCAGUCGGGACGAAGGGUGACUGACGGUACCGACAGAAGAAGCGCCGGCCAACUACGUGCCAGCAGCCGCGGUAAGACGUAGGGCGCGAGCGUUGUCCGGAUUUAUUGGGCGUAAAGAGCUCGUAGGCGGCUUGUUGCGUCGUCCGUGAAAACCCGUGGCUCAACUGCGGGCUUGCGGUCGAUACGGGCAGGCUGGAGUUCGGUAGGGGAGACUGGAAUUCCUGGUGUAGCGGUGAAAUGCGCAGAUAUCAGGAGGAACACCGGUGGCGAAGGCGGGUCUCUGGGCCGAUACUGACGCUGAGGAGCGAAAGCGUGGGGAGCGAAC